rnacentral:rRNA from 1 species
UACGUAGGGAGCUAGCGUUGUCCGGAAUCAUUGGGCGUAAAGCGCGCGUAGGCGGCCCGGUAAGUCCGCUGUGAAAGUCAAAGGCUCAACCUUUGAAUGUCAGCGGAUACUGCCGGGCUAGAGUCCGGAAGAGGCGAGUGGAACUCCUGGUGUAGCGGUGGAAUGCGCAGAUAUCGGAAGGAACACCAGUGGCGAAAGCGGCUUCCUGGUCCAGCACCGACGUGCAGGCACGAAAGCGUGGGGAGCAAACAGG